UUACGAGAUAGUUGUUAAUUGGUAUUAAUAAGAAAAAGAUUUUAUUAAAUAUAGUAAAUUGAAUUGAACAAUAUUAAAGACUUAGUGAAUAUUACUGUAGAGGAAACUUGAAAUAAUUUAAGAGUUAAUAAUAAAAAAGUAGUAUUAAAAUUACGUAUCUUGUGUAUAAUAGAUAUUUAAAUUUAUGCAUUUCUAUUUGCAGGUCUCGAAAGAAAAAUAGUUAAAUUAAAAAAUAAGUUUUUGUAGCAGAAAAAUUUGUAAUUUUAUUUUAGGAGUGAGAUGUUAAUCGGGGUUUUUGAUAUCUAGUUUUUUAAGAAGUAAAUUUAAAUUAGUGUUUUUAUGUAAUUUAUAAAAACAGUAAAUAUAAAGGGGAUUAGCUCUUUAUUAUUUAAUAUUAUAAAAAAGUAAUUUAAAGGGGUUUAACUAAGCUUAAAAUUAGCUAGGUUUAUAAGGUGUUAUAAGUGAAAUCAAAAAUAAUAAUAUUUAUUUAUCUUUUAAUUGUUUAUUAAAAAUUACUUAGGAAUAUAAUUGGAGUAGUUAUAAUGAGUAUAUUAGUAUAUAGUGGGGUAAGGGAUUAAUUUAAAUUAAUAUAGGGGGUUUACAGGGAUUUAGAUUUUUUUUUAAGGAAUUCGGCAAAAAUUAUUUCUGCCUGUUUAACAAAAACAUGUCUGUAUGAGAGGUUUAUAAAGUCUGACCUGCCCAUUGGAAAACUAAAAGGCCGCGGUAUUAUGACCGUGCAAAGGUAGCAUAAUCAUUAGUUUUUUAAUUGAAGGCUAGAAUGAAUGGUUGGACAAGAAAUAAUCUGUCUUAAAUUAAAAUAUUGAAUUUAACUUUAAAGUGAAAAGGCUUUAAUGAUCUAAUGGGACGAUAAGACCCUAUAAAACUUUAUAUUUUAAGGUAGAAAUUAAUUUUAUUUUAAAGUUACUAUUUUAAAGUGUUUUGUUGGGGCGACAAGAAUAUAAGAAAUAAUAACUGUUUUUUAUUUCUACAAUAAUAUUUGAUUUAUUGAUCCUAAAAAGGAUAAAAGAUUAAGUUACUUUAGGGAUAACAGCGUAAUUUUUUUUGAGAGUUCUUAUCGACAAGAAAGUUUGCGACCUCGAUGUUGAAUUAAAGGUUCUUUAUAGAGUAGAGACUAUAAGAGAAGGUCUGUUCGACCUUUAAAUUUUUACAUGAUUUGAGUUCAGACCGGUGUAAGCCAGGUUGGUUUCUAUCUUUUAGGAUAAGUUAAAUUAUUUUAGUACGAAAGGAUUGAGUAAUUGAAAAAAUUUUUAU
rnacentral:rRNA from 1 species